CAGCCGCCGCGGUAAUACGUAGGUCCCGAGCGUUGUCCGGAUUUAUUGGGCGUAAAGCGAGCGCAGGCGGUCAGAUAAGUCUGAAGUUAAAGGCUGUGGCUUAACCAUAGUACGCUUUGGAAACUGUUUAACUUGAGUGCAAGAGGGGAGAGUGGAAUCCCAUGUGUAGCGGUGAAAUGCGUAGAUAUAUGGAGGAACACCGGUGGCGAAAGCGGCUCUCUGGCUUGUAACUGACGCUGAGGCUCGAAAGCGUGGGGCGCAAACAGGAUUAGAUACCCCAGUAGUCCCUGUCUCUUAUACA
rnacentral:rRNA from 1 species